rnacentral:tRNA from 1 species
UGUCCAGGGAUGGGAAUCGAACCCACAACGUUCCGCUUACCGGGCAGAUGCCAUGUCCACUAGGCUAUUUUGUUUGUC